rnacentral:lncRNA from 1 species
UUUGCGCAGUCAAAUUGCAUUGACUGUAUAAUCAUUUCUUAUCAUUUUUUUAUGUACAGUCACUGACUGUAUAUAUAUAUAUAUCUCCCUUUUUAUGAUAAUAAGCUGGUUCUCGGCUGACUACUUCACUUUGUUCAUCAGUUUCAGUGAAGCGUAAUACAAGUGGAUUCCAGUUUUAUGUGACCGGUUGACAAUUCGUUUCCGUUGAGUUUUAUUUAUGACGUCAUUCCCGGAAUUUUUACGUCAUUCGCUCCAAAUUCAAUAAUGAUGCUUUUUAUCCUAAAUAUUUCAUCUGGAACCAUAUAUUUAGA